UUCCUCCUCUCUCUCACGAAAGAAAUAGAGGGAGCGUUUGGAUCGCUCGCCAGCUUACCUCGCUAGGCAAGGCAAUCCUUGCCGACGGAGGCGAGCCGAUUUGACUAGCUCAGUCAAACCAAGAAAAAGCUGGAAACCGCAGGAUACGAGGCAGGCUCGCUCGAGAACCAAAUCCCUUGCUUCCUUGCCGAGCCAGGCUAAGCCAACGCUUGCCGGAUAACCAAACGCACUGAGAGUCUUCGAGAACUCCCAAAUUCCUCACCGCCGGUCACUCCCCUCUCUUUCCCGGCGGCCAUCCGAGUUGAGUUGGGCUUUACUUCUCAACCUCCAACUCGAUGCUCUUUUUCUUGGAGCCUACCAGCGGCAGGAAUACCAUGAGUAGGCCGUCGAGAAUUUUUGCUGGUGGCGAGCCGCUCGUUCAUGGUGGCGCUGGCGCCAACUGCCCCGACCCUUUGUGUCCGCUCCCAACCAUGCUCACCCCUCCGUAACCUAUGCUUUUCUCCUAUCAGAUCCAAAAAAAUGAUAAUUGUUUGGGAGUAGAGAUGCAUAUUAGAUCUAUGCGUGAUUGAAAACUUGGUCUCUCCUAAACAUGUGAUUUGUUAAAUGCUUAGAAAUGAAUUGGCUGUGGAUCCGCACAGUUCUUUGUGAGCUGCAGAUUUAGACUUAAACUGUACUCCAUCCCAUCAGGUUGGAACAUGAUUUUCUAUUCAGUAU